rnacentral:pre_miRNA from 1 species
ACAACAUUCGGACCGUCGGUCUACCGAGCAGAAUAUCACCCGCUCGGUGGAAGAUCUUCCCUUUGUCGU